UUUCCGUAGGUGAACCUGCGGAAGGAUUACUCAUAAUAAAGUGUUUUAUGGCACUUUUUAAAAAUCCAUAUCCACCUUGUGUGCAAUGUUAGAUCUCGUCAAUCUUGGCGAGAUUUUUAUACAUCAACUCAUUCUUUAACUAAUUUGUCUGAAAAAUAUUAUGAAUACUUAAUUCAAAAUACAACUUUCAACAACGGAUCUCUUGGCUCUC
rnacentral:misc_RNA from 1 species